rnacentral:rRNA from 1 species
CACUAUGCCCAGCCUUAAACAUUGACAGUUAAUUACACCCACUGUCCGCCCGGGUACUACGAGCGCUAGCUUAAAACCCAAAGGACUUGGCGGUGCUUUAGACCCACCUAGAGGAGCCUGUUCUAGAACCGAUAAUCCCCGUUAAACCUCACCCUUCCUUGUUCUUUCCCGCCUAUAUACCACCGUCGUCAGCUUACCCUGUGAAGGCCCUAUAGUAAGCACAAUCGGCAAUGCCCAAUACGUCAGGUCGAGGUGUAGCGAAUGGAAGGGGAAGAAAUGGGCUACAUUUACUAAUAUAGUAAAUACGGAUGAUCACCCUGCAACGAGUAUCUGAAGGAGGAUUUAGCAGUAAGCAAAAAAUAGAGCGUUUUGCUGAAAUUGGCCCUGAAGCGUGCACACACCGCCCGUCACUCUCCCCGAACUAAGAUCUAAAACAUAACUAAUAUGCUAUAACUGUAAAGGGGAGGCAAGUCGUAA